UUUGUUCCCUAAAUAGGGACUUGUAUGAAUGGCCACACGAGGGCUUUACUGUCUCUUACUUCCAAUCCGUGAAAUUGACCUUCCCGUGAAGAGGCGGGAAUACAACAAUAAGACGAGAAGACCCUAUGGAGCUUUAAUUAACCGACCCAAAGAGACCCAUUAAUUUCAACCGACAGGAACAACAAACCUCUGUAUGGGCCGACAAUUUAGGUUGGGGUGACCUCGGAGAACAGAACAACCUCCGAGUGAUUUAAAUCAAGACUAACCAGUCGAAAGUAUUACAUCACUUAUUGAUCCAAAAGUUUGAUCAACGGAACAAGUUACCCUAGGGAUAACAGCGCAAUCCUAUUUCAGAGUCCAUAUCGACAAUAGGGUUUACGAC
rnacentral:rRNA from 1 species